CCUACGGGGGGCAGCAGUGAGGAAUAUUGGGCAAUGGGCGGGAGCCUGAACCAGCCAAGCCGCGUGAGGGAAGAAGGUACAGCGUAUCGUAAACCUCUUUUGUCGGGGAACAAAGGCGCGGACUAGUCCCCGGAUGAGGGUACCUGAAGAAAAAGCAUCGGCUAACUCCGUGCCAGCAGCCGCGGUAAUACGGGGGAUGCGAGCGUUAUCCGGAUUUAUUGGGUUUAACGGGUGCGCAGGCGGCCGGUUAAGUCAGCGGGAAAAGCCCGGGGCGCAACCCCGGCGAGCCGUUGAAACUGGCGGGCUGGAGUUGGAGAGAAGUACGCGGAAUGCGCGGUGUAGCGGUGAAAUGCUUAGAUAUCGCGCAGAACCCCGAUUGCGAAGGCAGCGUACCGGCUCCACACUGACGCUGAGGCACGAAAGCGUGGGUAUCGAACAGGAUUAGAUACCCCUGUAGUC
rnacentral:rRNA from 1 species